rnacentral:misc_RNA from 1 species
GUAGGUGAACCUGCGGAAGGAUCAUUAACAAAUCAGUUUGGUGCUGCUGGGUGUGUGUGUGUGUGGGGGGGGGUCUUCCUUUUGGAGGGCUCUCUCUCUCCUCCACCCCACGGCCCAUAUUAACCCGAGCCCGUGCAGCAAUGCCGGGCAAGGUGUGUGAGCCCGCCCUUUUGGGAGGGGCUCACGCGGUGAAGGUCAAUGUGUCUUGCAUUGAACCCGAUCCACAUAGACGCUUGUAUGUUUGACAGAG